rnacentral:rRNA from 1 species
AUACCAGCUCUUCGAGUGGUGUGGAUGUUUAUUGGGCCUAAAGCAUCCGUAGCUGGCUGGGCAAGUCCCCUGUUAAAUCCACCGAUUUAAUCGUUGGAGUGCGGGGGAUACUGCUUGGCUAGGGGACGGGAGAGGCAGACGGUAUUUUCGGGGUAGGGGUGAAAUCCUAUAAUCCCGGGAAGACCACCAGUGGCGAAGGCUGUCUGCUAGAACGCGCCCGACGGUGAGGGAUGAAAGCUGGGGGAGCGAACCGGAUUAGAUACCCGGGUAGUCCCAGCUGUAAACGAUGCAGGCUAGGUGUUUGGACGGCCACGUGCCGUUCUAGUGCCGCAGGGAAGCCGUUAAGCCUGCCGCCUGGGGAGUACGGCCGCAAGGCUGAA